rnacentral:lncRNA from 1 species
CACUUGCCAGCCCACAGAGAACACACAGGCCUUUUUCUGAAGUCUCCAGAUAGGUGCUGAUAGAUCCCACAGAAACAAAAGCCUUCAGUAACUUUGUUGAAGAUUGUGACUCUGAAUUGCACGCAUGUUUCUGAAGCUUGCUUCUCUUCCAAGGCAAAUGAAGAACCAGCAUAGCAAAAAGGAAUAUCAAACUCAUUAAUGAGCUUUAAGGGCCACCAAUUGAAAUACUACCUAAAUCAGCUGGAGGACAAAGAAGGUAACUUGUAAGAACUGAGAUGACAUGUUGAAAAGAGUCUUAUCUCGAUGAAAACAGAUGAUUCUGUAGGUUUCUGAGCAGAUGGACAUUCAUCUUAUAUUUUCCUGAGGCUAUUGGCAUGUGACCGGUUGAACAGUUUAAAAUAAAG